CAAUAGCGUAUAUUUAAGUUGCUGCAGUUAAAAAGCUCGUAGUUGGAUUUCGGGUGGGAAUGGCCGGUCCGCCGUUUCGGUGUGCACUUGCUACGCCCACCUUGCUGCCGGGGACGUGCUCUUGAGUUCACGCUCGGGACACGGAGUCGGCGAGGUUACUUUGAGUAAAUUAGAGUGUUCAAAGCAGGCCUACGCUCUGAAUACAUUAGCAUGGAAUAACACGAUAGGACUCUGGCCUAUCUUGUUGGUCUGUAGGACCGGAGUAAUGAUGAAGAGGGACAGUCGGGGGCAUUCGUAUUUCAUUGUCAGAGGUGAAAUUCUUGGAUUUAUGAAAGACGAACUACUGCGAAAGCAUUUGCCAAGGAUGUUUUCAUUAA
rnacentral:rRNA from 1 species